UCUCGACCAGCAUUUCUGCAAUUUCUUCUUCACCAGUCUAUUCUGCCAGUCCUGCGGUCCAUUGCCAUGCUCUGAAUCAGCAGAGAACUGCGGCAGCUUCUUGCUCCAAUGUUCGCUCGCCCUAGAGAUGCAGCUGUAUUGAUUCCCCACAGAUUGGGUGAAAAUAGCCUACAUGAUCUCCUUGCUAGCUGGACGAGGACUGCAGUGGGCUCAAUCUCUCUGGUAGCAAUCAGCCCUGUAACUCAGUCACAUGAGAGCUUCACCCAACACUUCAGGGAAGUAUUCGGAUGCCCAGUGUGAGAUUCUUCCAUUUGUGAACAACUCUAUAAUCUCCGUCAAGGCAAUAGUACCAUCAACAUUUACACCCUCAAGUUUUGCACUCAAGCUGCCUCCAGUGGAUGGAAUUAGCCCGUUCUCCUCACUACCUACCGUCUGGGGCUCGAACUGAGGCUGUGGCUGAAUCUCUCAUCCUUCUACGACACCAUAGGUCUAGAGCGCUUCAUCCAACUUUCCAUCUGUGUCACCAACCAAAUGAAGACGUGCCUUGACGAGUUGCCUGCCUGGCAGGCUCUGCCUGUUCCUCAGCAGCAAUCCUCUGUCAACUCUUCAGAACCAGAUGGCGAGCCCAUGUAGAUGGAUGCUUUUUGGCUGUCCUCGGCAGAGUGCCAACGUCGACUGUCCUAGUGACUGUGCCUGUACUGUGGCAGUGAGGGACACGUCACCUUGGCAUGUCCCAUUCGUCCUCCAAGCCCACUGUACCUGCACUGCUCGACUCUGUGUCAGCCGGCAACUUAAUCUCUGAUGUGCUCUGCCACCAGCUCUAGCUCCAAAGGCGACCAUGUGACCCCAACCUCAAGAUACACUCCAUAAUCGGCAAGCCCCUUGGCAGAGGUAUUAUUCGGCCAUCCACAUCCCUGCUGCUUCAAGUUUUUUCUUUGUGGUGAAGGACAGAAGCCUGCGGUCCUGCAUCAAUUACCACUCCCUCAGCACAGUCAAUUUCUGAUAUCUGCUUCCCUUUGUCCCAGCUGCCUUGGAAAUGUUGAGAGGUGCUACAAUUUUCACUAAGCUGGACCUUCGCAGCGUUUACAACCUCAUUCGGAUCCAAAGGGGAGACGAAUGGAAGACCCCCUUCAUUACUCAUACCGGCCACUACGAGGACCGUGUGAUGACGUAUGGCCUGGUCAAUGCCCCCUCCGGGUUCUAGGGCUUCAUGAAUGAGGUGUUCCAUGAGUACCUCCAUCAAUUCAUCCUCUUCAUCAUCAAUGACAUUCUAGUGUUCUCCUGGAAUGAGACCAACCAUCGUCAGCAUGUCACGCUUGUGUUGGAAAAGCUGAGGGAAUACCACCUGUACCUCAAGGCUGAGAAAUUUUCUUUUCAUCAGAUGUCCCUCCAGUUCCUAGGAUGCAACAUCAGCCCUGAAGUUAUUCAGACGGAUGAGGGGAAGUUAGAAGGUGUGCGAUCCUGGCCCACUCCUACCAUCAUCAUCAUCGCCAACUUCUACCACCGGUUCAUCAGGAACUACAGCUCCCUCAAGCCAGAGAUAAACACAAAUUAUAUCCUAUCGUGGUCACACCCUUUCUGUGGGGAAACGAAUGGACUUCAAAAGCAUCAUAGUUCAUUGCUAUAAUCAGGCUACAGUUCAUUGCAUCAACAAAAGAAGUUCUCGUGCUGCCGAAAUCAUGCCGUUUUUAAGACGUCUAAUUUGGAUUUCAGCCGAAAUUCAGUGCAUUAAUUCCAGAGGCAGACUCGACUCUGAUCCCGGUACUUCCCUGUUAAGAGCUGAGAUUCCUAUGGACCAUCACCUCAAAAAAAUCAAGCCAUUAAAAUGAAUCAAAAUCACCACCACUAUUGAUUAUUUUGAACAGUAUCAGUAAAAGCACACACUGUGAACUAUGGUGAAAUAAACUCAUUCAGUUAUUUCAAACCUCCACCAUUCAGGCAUCCAGGCAAAAUUUUACUCCAGUCAUUCAUUCCGUAUUGGCACAGCAAUCACAGCUGCCCAAAAAGGUUUAUCAGAACAACAAAUUAAAUCUCUCUGUCAUUGGUCCUCAGAUGCAUAUCACAGCUACAUCAGAUCCAAUCGGUUCCACAUCAGGAAAGCUCAUCAAUCACUAACCAGCUAAUCCCUUAUCAGUACCACCUGUCACCACCUCCCUCUCGAUACAUCUAACAUGCACACACAUACGUGUACACGUACGUUUAAGCACCGGUGUGCAUUCAAGUGCGUAUGUGGGCAUAUAUAUAUUUAGAUCAGAAGUCCUACAAUAUGAAUCGCAGCAUAGCCCUCUUGAUCAAAUGCCACACAAGCUCAUCCUCUUCCUUGUAUCAAGGCCUUUUCCCUCCGAGGUGAUCUGUCAGAGCCGGGACUUGAACUCAGGUGUCUAUCAUUAAUCAGAUUAAAUCUCAAUUAAUCAGAUCAAUUCAAUUCAAUCAUAAUUAAUUAAUUAAUUAAUUAAUUAAUCAGAGUCAAUCUCUCAACCCUUGAGCCAAAGAAGGAUGGUGAACCCAAUAAUAAGACACACUUAGGAUAAGUUGAGAUGCAUAAUAUAUUUUGAUAAAAGUUCAGGAAACAAAAAAUCCACAGCUGGAGCAAAAAACACCCAAAGUAAUCCUCAAAAAACAAAACCAGUCCAAAAAUGGCAUUCCCCAAAUGUAUAUAAAAAACACCAAAAAAGUUAAAUAAAAAAAACUCCAGAGGAGAACGUCCACAAGAAAUAAAACAGUUAAGGGGAUAAUCCUAAGGCAGAGUUAAUCAAAUGUCACAGAGAUUAAGAGAACACUUACUCAGGUAACUGGCUUCAGGACAACUAAACACCAAGAAACUAAAAGACAGAGUAACUUAAAUACACAGGGCUGAAUGAAACACUUGUGAACUUAAUUACACUGAUUGUAAGUAGAGAAACUGGGCGUGAGAGCACCUGGAGGACCUCUAGAGGCCAAAACACAACACAAGCAAAACACUGACAGCGAUCGAUGCGCUUUCCGUUUCAGACACAGAGUGGUUCAAAUUUGCAUGCUGAGCUUACCCGUUCGAAUGCCGUGAGCUCUCUCUCUCUAUAGAGCAGUCUCCCGUUCGAAUUGCAGUGUGAGCCCUCCCUUUCGAAUGCAGCACAACCAUCUUGUGCUCACUUUCAGUAUCCCUUGGCUAGUUCCUCCUCAAUGCAUGACUUCAUGGCCUCGGACUCAGGUUUAGACAAGGGGAAGAUUCUGACUCGUGGAGGUGAGGAACCAGGUAAUUCUAUGGCACAAUCACAGGAGCGAUGAGGAGGUAGUUUUGAGGCUUUGGCUUUGUUGAAGGCUUCAACUAAGUCAUAAAACUCAGGAGGCAGAUUAGGAACUGAAGUGGGUUCAACUCGCACAGCAGCGGCUCUAACAUUCCUGGAAGGAAUCGGCUUUAGGCAGGUGGAGAUGCAGGUACUGGACCACUGGCUAAUUUGCUGAUUUGAGGGUUGUGUUUUUGCAACCAAGGUAGACCUAAAAUUACAGAGUAAUGAGGUGAUGGGAUGAUAUAUAGGCGAAAAGUUUCAGUAUGCUGUACUCCUACUUGCAGAGUGAUAUCUUUUUGUAGGGUGAUACACAUGACCAUCCGUCCGUCUAACGCCACCACUGCCAAAAGAGAGUCACAUAGGUUAAGUGGUAUAUUAUAAGCCCUGGCGAAAUCCUUGUCAAUAAAGUUGCCCACUGCCCCAGAGUCCAGCAUGGCUGUGGUAGAGACAGAUCUCCCGCAAAGGUUAAUAUCACUGGCACUUCAACGCAUGAAUUAAAGGGGUUUAAUAAACUACAGCCACUCACCGUAGUGGAGUGACUUCGAAAAGAUCAAACGUGCAGGAAAUCCGUUGAUGUCCGGCUUGACCACAGUACAAACACAGAUGCUGCUGAACGCGACGAUCUCUCUCCAUAGAAUUAAGGUAGGUGUGUCCAUUGUAUAUGGGUUCAGAUUCACUAGGGUUGAAUGCAAUGGUAGUAUGUGUUACAUGAUUUUUGGGUUUAUGUUCUUGGAGGAGAUUAUCAAUACGUAUAGUCAAUUCAAUGAACUGAUCCUAAGUCUUACCCUCGUUGUGACAUGCCAGCUCUGAUUGAACAGGCACAAUGGCACAAUGGUUGAUGUUUUGAAGCAUGUGGGGACUACAGACAGGGAGAGGGACAGGUUGAAAAUGUCCGUAAAAACACCAGCCAGUUGAUUCAGGUGAUGGAGCUCUCAGGUGGUGAGUGGGAGGAACUACAGAGGCGGGAUUUGUGAGAGUAGUAUUCGAGAUCGGUCUUGGUCUCGAGACCGCUUUCUGAAAGUCCCGGUCUCGUCUUGCAAUCGACCGCAUUUUUACUCUGUCUUGUCUCGGUCUCAGACAAAGAGGACUCUGGAUUUAAUUUCAAGACCGGUCAAGACCACAACUGCAGGGAUAUCACUAAAUUGCCUGUGCAUUGUCUGAUUUAUUAUUACUGUGAUUGGAUGGAAGCUUCAAAUGCAAGCAAUAACAUGACUCAUUUCUAAUUUGAAUAUUUUUUUACUUUAAAUGGAUGUCACCCCUCCCCACCCACCUUCACAAAAACUCCAAGAAAUUGAAUGCAGGAGACAGGAGAAGAAACAGUGGCUGAGAGAUGUAAAACAAUCUGGCUACAUAAACCAGUGUUUCCCAACCACUGUGCCCACUAGUGUGCCAUAAAAUAUUGUCAGUUGUGCCAUGGAAAAUUAUAAAUUUCUCAAAAUAAAUAAAUACAGUUUUUUGCUGGUAUUUUAGUGAAGGCAUAGAGACAGUAGAAGAGUUUUAAAGUUGCCAAUUCAGUAUAUUUGCCAUUACAAAGUAUUUUAUGUAGUUUAAAGUAGUUUAAAUAUUUUGUCCAUCAUAACAUAACAUAAAAUAACAAAUUCUAGUCCGCUGUCAAACUCCUCACAUGCCCACGAUAUGAUGCUUCAUCAUCACACUGAAUAGAAUACAACAGGUGUAUUAUUUUACUCAAAGACUAAAAGCUGUUUAUUUGUGCACAACAUAGAGUUACAGAUGUUAUGAACAGAUGUGGCUUACUUGUCCCUUUUCUCUCAUGAAACAUAAAAAGUAUAUGAGAAACUGUUACAUACGAUUCCAUGAUAUGAUGUUUAGAUUCUGAGGUACUGUAAUCUUCACUGAGUGUUUGACAUCUGAAACAGUGAAUGGAGGCCGGGCAGCUGCUCUCGGGUCCUAGUGCCUGCCGGAUCCAACCUCUGUCAGUGAGACUUAUGUGUUUUUUUCUCUCCAUCAACAACACGACUUUGACCCGGUGCGACUUAUAAUCAGGUGUGACUUUAU